CCGUAACCAUUAUCUUCAACCCUUACUUCGUGUGGACAUGCUGUACUUCCAAAUCUGGCAUAUAUUCCCAUUUCAUUUCUACUCCUUUGAGGUGGAACGCUCAUGUUUCAGACACCUUUGCUCGUUUCGUCUUCAGAAGUUGCAAUGAUAAAAUGCUAUAAUUGAAAAAUGAAGUAUUCAUUAGCUGGCGUAUACUACCACUGCACAAAAUACCGGAACAGAACUUCUUACUGAUUGUUUUGAAGACAUGAAAACUAGCCAUAUUCGCUG
rnacentral:lncRNA from 1 species